CUCUCCUCCUCAUGCCCUAAAUUAAACUCUGUUCUAUACUAUACCUGUGGCUGGUACCUCAGAGGGAAGGGAUGCCUAGGCUUGGGCCCGCAGAGGCACCCCCAAGCCCUGGCACCACACCGCACCUCUACCAAACACAUUCCUGAUUCUUCUUUAUAAAACACAACAGUAGUCACCUGGGAUCUGGAUUGGCUGUCUGAGGGAAGGGAAGACAACCACACUGCACCCCAUCCCUGCCUUGUUUCAUCCUCAGUUUCUUAAACACCUAGCAUGCAGCCAAAACUCUGUGGAGGACGUGGUGCCCGGAAGAGCUUUCCUGUUCGUCUACAGCCCACACGGCAAGGCGAAUGCUUCCUUCACACAUACCUUCCCUAGCCCAGGCUUUCAUACUUUGGGCUUUGCAGGCCCUCAGGAUGAUGGGGAGCAGGGUGUGAGCUCGCUGGCUGAGAGGCUGGGGGAGGCCCUGGAUUCCACCCCCAGCACUGCAAGGUCAGUCCACAGAGAGGCCGGGUUUUUGCCUCAGUAGCAGCUAGAGGCAAAGAAGGACCAAUUGCCUGUGAGGGAGGCUGAGAGAAGGACUCCACUGGGUUUUAAUGUCUACUCUUUCUGCUGCCACGUCUAAAUCUUUUCUUCUAGAGUUCCCUCCUUGUCACCUGCUUUUGUUUCUGCCUCAUGGUGCCCUGGGGACACCUCCUGCCCCCUCCCAAGAGGAUGCAGCACCAACACCUGUGUUGGCAAAAUCUCCAGAGGCUCUGUAGAGAGGGAGAUGGAGACCUGGAAGGCUUUGUCAUCAGCAAAGUCUCCCUCAGGGCUGUGCCCCGCCCACUGCGAGGGUUGAUCCACGGACAUUAAGAAAGGUGCUUUAUUUUUCUCCACACUGACCUGGUCUGCAUAUAAACGGCAGGAUAAAAAGCAGCCUUCAGUGGGAAAUACCAUGUGGAAAGUCUUCACAGUUGUGAGCGGAUCUCGGCACAGGUUAAGAAAUUAGAUGUGCCAAUUUCCCACUGGGUGAAGCUCGAUAGGCUGUCGCUCACACUUUCUGUCAAGCGUUGUCAAUGAAGGAAGCGUUCACAGGGUGGCUUCCAGAAGCAACAGAGGCAUGGGCAGAGCAGAGGCCAUUGGCUGAUGCUUGCUCAGUGGGUUUCUGAAGUCACACUGACUGCUGUGACCACCUGGGGCCAUUUCUCAUUUUUGGAUCUUUGUUAGGAUGGAGUGGUGGCAUCUGCCCCCCCUGCUUCACUGUUACUCACCCCAGAUACCACCUUCUCGGUUGUCCCUGACCCCAUCCCCACAGCUGGGGGACUCUGGAGAUUGUGGGAUACUGUCACUGUAGCAGCCAAUACUGUCCUUGUAGAUGCCCGCCCUUCCCCCAUAGACCCUUCUGUGUUGGCUAGUUUCCUGUCAAUAUGACACAAACUAAAAUCAUUGAGAAGAGGGAACCUCAGUUGAGGAAACACCCCCACCAGAUUGGUCUGUGAGGGCCAUGACAUCCCUGGAUGAGCCCCUUCCCAGGCAGGGCACCGAUUACUUUCCUUGUGACCACCUCCUCUUCUCUGCUCUCCGAUUUCCCCAUCUGCCUUCUUCUCUCUCACCCUGUUUAUUAUCAGGAAAAAAACAACGGGGCCACAUGUAACUUCAAAGAGCAGCAAGAGGCUCCUGUUUCAAAACUGCAGAGGCCUCUGUGCUAGGCUAGUUUUGUCCCUCUGGCUCCCCUGAGCUCCUCUGGGCUCCCCUGUGUGUGGAAAUCUGGAAUGACUGGUCUGAUGGGGUUGCAUGAGUGUUCCCGAUCUGUAGAUGAACCAGAGUCAAGGUUUGAUAAGGGAUGCCGGACUGAGAACUGGCACAGAUGCACCGCCCCCCACCAUAAAGGGGUAGGAUUGGGAGGGCGCUUGUGAAGCCAAAGUGACUGCAGGGCUUUCUGCCAUAGGUGUGUUCUGAAGCUCCGGAACCACUGACCAGCUGUUGUCUCUUUCACCCUACAGCCAAACCUACAAGAGCAGCCCCCGCCACUCGCUCACCAGUAGACAGCGAGUACAUGAGCAAGCCCUCCGGUCUGCUGAGACGGAACUGGGAGUCCCUCGGUUUGGGUCACUCUACCUCACCUUACAAUGACUGGAAGGCACAGUUCUAGCUCCUAAAGGAACCCCAGUGUGUUCCUUUGACUCCUGCCCUUUAAGUAUGUUCUCCCUCCCUGUUUAAUAUCGAAGCCGUCUUUGCCUUCACUGCUCCUGUGCCACGGAGCCCUCGGGAAGGCAAACCUUGACGAUGAUUGUACCUCUUGCCCCCUCGGCUCCACCAGCCGUGCGUCUUGAGCAAGAGCCCCAGGGUAUUUAGAGCACUUCGCUAGUGUCUAGAAUUAAGCUGGACAGCCACUUUGCAGAUUCCCUCUCAGUGGGCGCCUGUGACAAUGAAAUAUCUGGUCUGCAAUCAGAUAGUCUGUUGAACGCUUUUUUGUCCUCAGAUUAACACAGGUGGCUGUUCUGGGACCUUGGUCAGGGAGGGCACCAGAGGAAUGACAGCCAAAGACAUCUGUGCAAAUUCUUGUCAUCUCUGAUGCUUCCAAAGUCCAUAGCUACACCCUGCACCCGGGGAAGCUGAGGGACACCCUAGCAUGGGCGUUGUGAAACAUGAAUUUCCCUUAACUGGUUCCCCCAGGUUACACAGGAUCACCACAUCAUGAAAUGAUUUUCCUUCCCUCUUUAUUUCCUUCUGUCCCACUUUGCUUCUGAGACAAAUGGAAAAAUAAUUUGAUCUCCUUGAUUCUGCCCACCCUUGAUAGUCUCCCACUUCACACUGAGUACCGCCCCUUGAUAAAUGAGAACACAUGUGUUGGAAUCCAGCCUUCACCCACCGGACUUCCUCCUCCUCCUCUUUCUCCUCCCCCUCCUCUUUCCCCUCCUCCUUCUCCUCCUCCACCUUCUCAUCUAUUGGGUGGGGAUGGAGUGGGUUCCAUUCAAAAUUCUGAAUUAAAUUUAUCACAAGUGGAAGAGCAUUGCUUUUCUUUAAAACAUUGGUUGGGUGAGUCCCCAACCACUGUAAUUUAGAGAUACAGCACUGUCCUUUAAUCUAGAAGUUUCCUUUUUCCAGCUCCAAAUUCUCUGAUGGGGUGGGGGAUGGGGUAUGCAACAGACUCUACAUAGCUGCUUUUGCCAAGUCAGUGCUGACUCAUCGGGGAGGAAGCCAAAGGGUGACGCAUGCAUAUUUGGAACAUUACCCUGUAUGAAGAUUUCAUCCAGGCCUGACCUCGGCCCUUCUGUCUCCUGAUCGAUUCAGAGGCAGUCACUUUUCCUUUAAAAAUGGGUCCUGUCUAAAUCCUUCAUGUGAAGGCUGCGUUUCCCAAAAAUGAACUUUCUGACGUUUGAAUGUGAGUUCAUUAUUGUUCUUUACUGUCUUGGUCUCUGGGCAAACAAACUUAUCUCUUUUAAAAAAAAGAAAAGAAAAGAAAAGAAAAGAAAAGAAAAGAAAAGAAAAGCAACCCACAGUGACAAACUCUGCAGAAACUCAGUCUUUGAGCAUCCCCCGUAGCUGGCAUCUGAAGCAGGAUGCCUCCUUGAACUGAAAGGCAUGCCCCAGGAUCCCUAUAAACAUCCUUACACUUCAACUUAAGGAAACCCGCCUGAUGAGAGGGGAACACUCAGCCUGUGCUGCUAGGAGACUCCCUGUUUAUGUGGCCUUUGUUUAUGUAUGCCCCGGCUGAUAAAAAUCUCUACUUAACAGAUGCACUCAAGCACCUCAGAAACUAAUUUUCUUUCUAUCGCAAGAGCUUUCCGGGAAGAAAUGAAAGGAAAGGAGAGUGGGGUUGGCAGCCGUCCAUCGUGUGGUCGUUUAUUGUCAUGGAAUGUAGCAGAAGACGGCUCCUGCUAGUUCGUUUUGAUUUCCGUGUGUAAAUCUGCUCUCACCUAAAGCUUGACCACAUGACGGUGCAGACACACAUUAAACUGAUUAUUUCAGUCUGAGCUGUGUGCAGACAGCGCACUCUAAAUUGCACAUAAAAAUGUUCUCCUAAACCAUACCACCUGCCUGCACAGAGAUCAUUUUCUUUCAUAAAGACAGACUCUAAUAUGUCUCUGAGAUGCUGGCCUCUGGGCUCAUGAGGACUGUCUCUCUGCAGGAACUGGCCUGGGCUAUGGCUUCUCUCGGCCUCCUGGUCUCCUUUCCAAAAAGGCAGGAAUGCUGUUUGGCCCGCCGGUGCCUUGGCUUCUUGCUCAGAAGAUUAUCCAUCCCGUCCCCUCCCAUCAAAAUGCUGUCACACAGGAGGGUGGGUGAGUAACUGAAAGGCCUGGAAGAGUGCGACAUGGAAAAGGAAGAUGCAUGGGGACAACACAAGCCAUCGAGGCCAGCGAAAGAUGAAAGGUCCCAUAAUGAAAAUGGCUGUGGAGAAGUAAGCCUAGGCAGAGAAAAACAUUGGACCAAAAGUAACUGAAAAAAGAAAAGAAAAGGAAGGAAGGAAGGAAGGAAGGAAGGAAGGAAGGAAGGAAGGAAGCAAGCUAAUUCUGGAAGGGACAGGCAAACUAAUGUGACUUCACCUUGUUAAGCGGUUGGACAGUUGACUUUCAUUAUCCACUCGGUCCUCACCAGUGAAGAGAAGACUCGGGGUGCUGCGCCCACACAGGGGCAAAGUAUGCAAUGUUGUUCUUGGGGUGAAUAUUCCUCCCAGAACUGCACUUCCAGGAUAAAGUUCCCAACCCCAUCCACUUAGGCUUUCUUUGCCCAGCAGAGAGAGAGAGAGAGAGAGAGAGAGAGAGAGAGAGAGAGAGAGAGGGAGAGAGGGAGAGAGAGAGGGGAGAGAGAGAGAGCAGGGCUGCUUUCCCAUUAGACUGUCCUGUGUCCUGUACUGUAAGACUUGACCCUUCUCACUUGAAGACCCCUGGUUUCUGAGUUUCCCAACACCACUCUUCUUCUCAUAAUUCUUCAUCUCCCUUGCAAAUUCCUGCUCUCUGGCCCCAUGACAAUCGAUUUUCAUGUGCAAGUAUACUGGGUUACAGAAAGCCUAGAUAUUUGGUCAUAAAUCAUUCUGAUGUGUGUCCCAGGUCUGUAUGAGAUGAACACUACAAUGGACACACUGAGGCCAGGAGCAGGCCCCGCCCCUGUUAGUGGGUGCCAUCCCAUCCUUUGGAAAGCCUAACAGAACUAAAGGCCACACAAAAGCAGAAGUAUGUUCUGUCUGCCCUGUGCUGUGCCCUUCAGUCUUCUCUGUUUUUGUGUUUGGCCUGAAACAUCAAUGUUCCACCUUGGUCCUCAGAGUACAGGACCUUGAGUUUUUUUGACUUCCAUUAACCCAAGACAAUCUUUUUGUUCUUUCUCUCCUGUUUAGGACAGAACCCAGGGGCACAUACAAGCAAAGCAUAUUUUAUUAGAUAGUUAUCAAAUAGUAUAUAAGCUAGCCAAGAUAUAAUAUAGAUUUUAAGCCUUUCUUAAGCUGGAAUGAAUAACUUAAUGUUCUGUCUAACUAAUAUAGUGAUGGACUGGGUGUUGAGUAUAUCAUAUGCUUUAUAAAUUAUAGAAUGGUAAUAAUUGUACUCAACUUAUAUAUAAGUGAAAAGGCUUUUUAACUGGACAAAAAGGGGGAAAUGUUGUGGUUUGCCCUGAAGUUAUCUGUAUUUUGAUGCUAAUUCCACUGCCCAAGGACAGCUGCCUAGUCAGUACUCAGAACUCAGGUGACUUCAUCAGAACCACCUCCCCAUUGAAUUUGUAAAGUACAGGUACCGAAUAGAAGGAGGCCUAUCAUUGGAGGAGAAGGAAGGAUGGGCGGGAGAGAAGUUUGAAGGAAGAGGAGGAGACUAGAGGCAAAAGGAGAGACAGGAAGAGGAGAGAGUGAGAAGCUAUGGCAGGUGAUAUUAAGAUUCUGCUCUGUGUAUUUACAGGUUGUUGUUAAUGUUCCUAGGGAUGGAUGGUACCGGGCUUUGUAUGUUUAAGUGGGCAAUUAUAUCUUAUCAAUUGGGUCAAAGAUUAUUGUGUUGUGUGUUCUUUUUUGUGAGGGUUUGAGUGUAGGAAAGUGUGUGGUGACAAGAGACACUGGGCAGCCGAGGAGUGGGCUGUGUUUCCACCCAACAGAUACCUUGGGACACCAUGGUGCGGACCUAGCGGGGUAAAAGACAAAUAUACCUUUUUAUUUUUAUAUUUUUACAACAACACAAUUCUUAUUGUAACGUGUACUUACAUCAUGUGUGAGUCUCUGUGUGUGAGUGUAUGUACACGCAGCAUUUAGCAUGCUGUGAAGGUCAGAGGACAACUUGAGGGAGUUGGUUCUCUCUUUCUAACAUGUGAGACUAGGAAUCGAACUCAUGUUAUCAAGCUUGGUUCUAAGCACCUUGGUUUCGGGCCAUCUCAUCAGCCCAGAGCCAGUUCUUUAUUGUAAAUCUAUGUUUCUAAGUCCCUAUCUUUGGCUGGUUCCGCUUCAAGAGAAUUCUAAUGUGAGCCUGUUCUUAUGUGUUGGCUUCUACGCCUACUUCUCUCUCAUAGUCUUAGCUUGCUUCAUACUGCUGCAAUGAAGACUAUGACCAAAACAACAUGAGAAGGAAGGGUUUAUUGGCUCACACAGUCCAAUCACACUCUGUCUCUGAGGUAAGUGAGAGGAGGAACUCAAGGCAGGAACUGAAGCAGAGGCAAUGGAGAGACACUGCUCACUGACUUGCUCUCCAUAGGUUGCUCAGCCUGCUUUCUACCCAACCCAGGACAAUGUGUCUAGGCCUAUAGCAGGCUGGGCCCAUCUACAUCAGUCAUCAAUGAAGAAUGUGCCCACAGAGUUGCCCACCAGUCUAUACGAGGGAGGCAUUUUCAUUUGAGGUUCCUCUUUUCAGGUAACUUUUUCCUAUGCCAAGUUGACAAAAAUAACAACAACAACAACAAAGAAAAACAAAACAAAAACCAAACAAAACUGUAAAAAUAUAAAAAAAUACUGUAAAAAUAUAAAAAAUACUGUAAAAAUAUAAAAAAUUAAAAAAGUAUGGAUGUCUUUUAUCCCCCAUUAGAUCCGACACCGAGGUGCCCCAAGGUAUCUGCUGGAUAUCUUAAUUCUUAAUCAGCAAAGUGUCUCACCCGCUCUGCUCCAUCCCAUAUCACACUGCCAAAGGCCUCUCUCUGAGCCUGGCAGUAAUCUCUCUACCCAUCUAGUUCCCAAGGCAGGUUUCCAUGCCAGAAACACACAUCCCAACUCCGAGGUGACCCAGACAGCCACCCCACACUCCAUUACACUUAAGUCUACACAUGAAAGAACUCACAACACAAUAACCUUUGGCCCAGUUGAUAAGAUAUAAUUGCCCACCUAAACAUACAAAGCCCAAUAUACAUCCAUCUCUUAAAAACGUUUGUAACAACAUGUAAAGGUACAGCGUAGAAUCUUAACAUCACCCGCCAUAUUCUCCUGCCUGCCACGGCUUCUCUCCCUCUCCCUCCUGUCUCUUCCUCCUUUCCGUUCCUGUCUCCUCCUCUUCCUUCAAACUUCUCUCCCGCCCACCUUUCUUCUCCUCCAAUGACGGUCCUCCUUCUAUCCUGUACCUGCCCCUCACCUGUAUUUCACAAAUUCAAUGGGGAGAAGGUUCUGGUGAAGUCACCUGAUUCCUGAGUAGGACUAAACAGCUGUCCUUGGGACAGUGGAAUUAACAUCAAAAUACAGAUAACUCCAGAGUAAAUCACAACACAAACCCCUAGCCAGGGCAGUUUCAAGUGAGUCAUCCAAUUCUGAUCCCUGCAGUGGCUCCCAGGGUAUCAGCAAGCCAACCCUUGGAACUUAUGAACAUUUGUUUUAAUGGCAAGGUGUCUGAAUCCUGAAUACUAGCACCGUGUUCUAGUGAGAAGGCCAGGAGACUGGACACAAACUGGGCUAGCCUCCCAUUGCUGGGACUGAACAAUUGAGGCAAACAGCGUAAAAGGAGAAAAGAGAUUAGCUAAUGGUUUCAGGUGUCAAGUCAAGGUUAGUUGACUCUGGGGCUUGUGGGGAGGCACACAUCAGGCAGGAAGUAUGUGCGGCAGAGAAUAGCUGCUUACCUCAUUGGUCCCAGGAAAAAGGGAGAUUAGAGGAGAGAAGGGGAGAAGAUCCCAAUAUCUCCUUCAAGGAUACAAAAAUGAUGAACUCUGAGUAUUUCUACCAUCUCCCAGUAGCUGCUUCAGACUGAGGACCAAACAUUACCACAUGCUAGAGUGGUAGCCCAGUGGAAAAUCAUUUGCAAGUAUGUACAAAGUCCAUGGUUCAAUCUGCAGUCACACACACAUAUACACAAACACACAGACACACAAACAUAGGCAGACACACAGACAUACGUACAUAAACAUACUCAGAGACACAGACACACACAGACACAUAUACACACAGAUACAUACACACAGACACAGACAUAUAGACACAAACACAUGCAACAUGCAUAAACACAGGCAUACACACAAACACACAUAGAUACACACUCACAGAUACACAUACACAUAGAGAUACACAACAAAUACAGACACACACAGACAAACCCAGAUACAUACAUAGACACACACACACACAGACAUAUAGACACAAACAAAUACAAACCCAGACAAACCCAGAUACACACACACACACACACACACACAAAGAGGCACACACACACAAAAAUACAGACAUACACAUACAUAAAUACACACAUAUACACUUAUACACACAGACACACACCGCACACAGACACAUACUCUUAGGCACAAUAACAGACACACAACAUACCAUACAAACAGACACACACACACACACACACACACACAGAUGCAGACACAUCUUAUAGACACACAGGCUCACAGACACAUAUGCAAACAUACACACAGAUACAUACAUUCACACAGAGAUACACAGAGACACACACACAUACAUACUACACAGACAAACACACACACACAUAUACACCUAUACCAUAUACAGACACAACCAAACACACAGACACAGACACACACACCAGGUGACACUAAGGCUCUAGGAAAUUAUAUCACAACAGAGGAAAAGCAAAGUGCUCUGAAGUUUGGAAUGAUGAAACCAUGAGCCAGGAAUGCUGGAAGCCUGGAAGACAAGGGGACAGAUUGUCCCACAAGGGCUCCAGAAGGAACCAGGCCUGCUAACACCUUGGCUUUACCUAAGUGAGACUGACUUUGGAUCGCUGGCUUCCAGAUAUGCAAGGAAACAAAUAUAUUUUGUUUCCAAGCCCAAAUUUGUUAUAGCAGCAACAGGCUAAUACACUCUGUAAGAGCUCCUCCUUGAAAGCAAAGAAGCGAAGGCACUCUCCACACCUCUCGGCAAGGGGGUUUGCCUCUGCACUAAGGAUUUCCAAAGUUGCCUCUUUCUUUGAAUCCCAAUUCAAAAAGACGUUCCCAUCCUUCUGUUUCUCCAAUCUAAUCCCAGAGUGCUCCCUGACUCAAUUCUCAUGACUCCAGGGUCCUGCCUCACCAAGCAGGCCUCAAGUUCAGCCUCCCACUGUCUCUCACCAGCAUUUCUUGUCUCUUAGACCUUGAGUUACUCAGCACCUUCCUGGUGCCAAGGCACCUCACCAAGCAUAAUCUGACCACACCUCUUCCUGAUUAAAUCCGUCUGUGUGUCUGUCUUUUCCUUUCCUCUUAUCACAGUACUCUCCCCACUAACCCUCCCUUUUUAGCUCUGGCCGAAUCUACCUAGUCAGUCAUGAGGGGCAAGCCCAGACCAAUACAUGCUUGGUGAAUAUGAUGUCAACCCACUGAUAAUUAAGAGGGGGAAAUGCCUCAAAUUAUGAUGUUUAAACCGCACACAGACACAUACUCCUAGGCACAAUAACAGACACACAGAUUUCAAUGGAUUUAGUGAGACAACUAUACAACCACAGUCAACUUUGGAGUAUUUUCAUCAGUUCCAGGGCCCCCCUCAGCUCCAUGUGCUCUGAGCAUGUGUGCUUGCCUGGUCUAGAUGUUUCAGGGGAGUGGAAUGAAGCCCGUGUGUGUCACAGUUCUCUGGGAGCCCCUGAGAAUGUGAUUAUUCUUUUGGUCCAUGCUCAGAAGCAGAUAGAUGUCUGGGCUCAUGUGGGAACUCAGCUCGACCAUCUGGGAGAACUCUGACCCAUUUUCUGUGAGGGUCACACAUACCCCUCCAGCUUCACUUAUUUCUCAUUGUAAAUGUGCUUUGAGCUUAGACUCAUGGGAGUAAGUGGUGUCUUUUGUGGCUUAAGACUUUGUUCUUUGUCAUUCUCUAUACAAUAGUGUUAAGUGUGGUAAAAAUAGGCGAAAUUUACUACUGUCCAAUUUGUUCAGGCUGCCACAACAAGUGUCUUGUGAGCUCUAGAAACACAUCCCUCACACAUCUUUGGUGGAUGCAGUCUGAGAAGUAAUGCUGGUGUGGUCGGGUUCGGUGUGACCUCUCAUUUGGCUUGCAGGCUGCCGGCUUCUCAUGUUCACUCUUGAAGAAGGCACUGGAGAAUGUUUCCCAAGAACCAAGGGAAUGGCUCCUGUUCAUAUAGCCUCUGACCUCACGGCCUGGCCAUCUCCCAGCAGCACCACCAUGGAGAUGAGGGCACAAAAACAUUGACACCCUGGAACCUUAACCAACCGUGUGUUGGGCAGUGCUUAGGCUCUCUACACUGUUGUGCAAGCUCACACUCACGUCAGAACCCACUUACUUCUCUCCUUCCUUCCUUCCUUCCUUCCUUCCUUCCUUCCUUCCUUCCUUCCGUGUUUGUGUGUGUGUGCGUGCGGGUGUGUGUGUGUGUGUGUGUGUGUGUGUGUGUGUGUGUGUGUGUGUGUACAGGCGAAGGCCUGAAGUUGACACUGGGUGUCUUCCUGAGUUGCUCUCUCUGCUUUAUUGAGGUCAGGUCUCUUGAUAAACCCAGAGUUCACCCCUUCUAGGGAGACCCUGUCUCUGCCCUCUUAGACUCCAUUUACACCAACCCUUUUCAUCUUGUAAAACUGAAAUCGCUACCCAUCGAACACUAACUUCUCGUCUUGCCCUCCCUUCAGACCCCGGUAAACAGCCUUUUACUUUCUUCCCCAUAAAUGUGAUACUGAAGGCAAUUGGCAUCAGUGAGUUAUGUGGUAUUUUCCCUUUUAUGACUCUUUUGUGUCACUUGACAUAAUAUCCUCCAACUCCAUCCAUGGUGUACUAAUCAGAAUCUCCUUCCUCUUUGGCACCAAGCCGUAUUUUAUUGUAUAUGUGUGCUAGAUUUUCUUUAUCCAUUCAAUGGUUAAUUCAUUUUAAAAUGUGAUCAGCCAUAGAAAGGUUAACUCACGUGCCAUGAUUUCAUAUGGACUGGAUUCAUAGCCUGGCUCUCCCUCUUUUGCUCAUGGUCUUGGGCGGCUCACUUGUGAAGUGAGUGGGCUAAUGUCAUUGUGGGGCUCCAUUAGCAUGGCUCUCACCAUUCUGUCAGCACAUGAUGAUGUCCAGAGAGGAGACACUAAAUGAGUGUGGUAGAACCUCCACACCAAGAUUCCUCAGGAUGGCGAGGGGACACAGUUCUAGUGGUAGGUGGCAGGCAUACUUCCAGUGGCACCAUUUACAGUGUUACCUUGCUGCCAGUGUCACCUUAGAAUUAUGUAGCACCUUAGACAUACAUACACUUUCACAUUUGUCAAAAAAUCCUCCUUAGAAGACACAAGGACAAAGUGGGUCUCUCUGUUAUGUGCAGGGCAAGGGCAAACACCAGUCUUCACAUGGUGACUUAAAGGCAGGAGACCUGCUCGCCAGGUUUUACACAGGUUGCAGGCACUGUAUCACUUGGUCCUCAGAGAUGGACGCUGUUACGUCUGAACUUUAGGUGUUCUGGUGCCCUUUAGAGAGAUUAAAUAAUGUGCCUGAGGCCUGUGAAGCAAUAGGAGGGAGCCUAGGGCUGACAGCUGAGCUGAAGGAGUUCUACUGUGAGGCCACACCCUGAAGAGCACCCCCUUGCAUGCACUAUAUUUCUUGGAGGUUUGGUGUAGGUUGAUGACAUCAUGCAGGUGAAGGCAGACAAGAUAAAAUGAGGCCUGUCAUUGGACAAGAAGGAAGGGAGGCAGGAACAGAGGUUUUAGAAGGGAGGGAGAAGAGGAGAGAGAGGCCGGAGUAAGGAGGAGGAGCUGUGAGAACACGAUGGCAGAUGUUAAGAUUCUUUGCUGUGCAUUGAUCCAGGUUGUUAUGACUGUUCUUAAGGGAUGGGUGUGUCCAGGAUUUUGUGUUGUCUAGAUGGACAAACUAUAUCUUAUCAAUUGGAUCAGAGGAUACUGGGUGGUGUGUUCUUUCAUGCGAUGAUGUAAUUGAUGGUGGUGGUGGUGAGAUGCACUGGACCAGCCACAGAAUUGGGAUGUGUAUGCCUGUCGUGGUGGCAACCAGCCAAUAGAGCUGUGAGUGAGGGUGGGGCGGCCUGACAGGGUGCUGCCCCAGGUCAGAGAGAACUUGGGGGGCAGCAUGGAGCUAAUCUGAGAUAGAUUAGCGCUAGUUUCAAUGGUCUUCUGGAGCCAGAGCUAUCGAGAGCUCAACCACCAGGAUACGCAUAGGAAACAUUCUGCCCUAUUUUAUUUUUACUGCAAAAUUAUUUUGGGUAAUUUAUUUACUGUGGGGCUGUAGGGAACUCCCUCCUGAAAGCCUACAUCUAAAAUGCGAUCAAGAAGGAAUUGUGAGUAAGGUUUGAUGCUAUUUGUACCAAUCGAAUUAGAAAGAGCCUCAAUUCUAGAUUUUAAAAAAAUCUUACAUUAAACAUAUGACCUUGGCAGUCAUAUGUCAUGCGUGUAUGCCACAUGCUGGCGAAACAAUCCUUGUGUGUAAAUAUUUCACAAGGGGCAGAGUGUGCAAGAUCACAUGGGCACUUUUUGGUUUUGGUUUUGUUUUUUGUUUGUUUGUUUGUUUUGCUUGUGUGAAGGAGAUUCAAAUGAAGUAACCCCAGUCUAUGGGACUCUAAGGGACUAGUCUGGUAGGACAUGGCUAACUUGAUCCUUGCCAUCACCCAUUUCUCUUCAUCUCUGUUGUUCUCUAUUAGCUACUUGGUUCCUAUUUUCCUCACAUUCUCACUACAGACUCCACUCUCCAUAGACACGGUUUUCUAUCAGUCUCUCCUGAAGGGUCACAAUGACAAUCCUACCUCCCCAGUUUUAAAAAGUGGACUUCCCCAGGCUUGUUCAUCAGACCUCCUGAGUGUAAAGUAGCUCCCAGCAGUCGGAUAGAACCUUGCAAAGCCAGGGAGAGUCUGAGAUUGUAUAAGGACCAAAGCUCCCCGAAACUAUUAACUCGUUCAACUUACUUCCGGGAUCAGCUGAUCAGUGUUCUGCUGUGUCUCCCAUUCAGCAGAUGGGACAGGAGACUUUGCCAGUGGGAGGAUACUGUCAGGAUGUGGUGAGAGAGGAAGAUGCAGGAUAAAGAUACAGAAGCAGAAAGUAUAUAAAGCCCAGAUGGGAUGUAGAGCCCUAGAGAAAGGGUUCCCUGAGACUGGAGGGAGGGGCUGAGAGAGUCAGCAGAUGGGCAGUAAGUUGAGAUGGUAUCUUGUGGGUGGCGGAGUGGGAUGGGGGCACCAUGUCUUCUGUGAGGCCGAAGGCAUGGUCUGGCUGGAGUGGGUAGAGAUUUGGGAUAAGAGGCAUGAGUGACUUCUUGCUGGAUGGUUUUCAGAAGAGUGGAGGAAAACCUGACUGUGAGGUAAUAAUGGCUUCCUGGACUUUUCUCCAGUGGCCCCAAGUAGUUCAUGAGAAAGAGUAGAGAAGGCAGAGGAGUAGAUGUUCUGGGUGGGUGGAACGAGAAGGGAAGAGGCCGAGGUGAGGAAGGAGCUAAGAUGCUGAGUUGUAGGCCUCGGAGAGGAUCUUGGGCAGGACAUCAUGGAGUGGACAAAGAAGAAGGCUUGUGUGCAGCACGUGUGGGGACAGCGAGGAACCUGCAGAGAUCAUCUGUGCCACGAUGAAUUCUAGGCACAGGUUUAGAGCACAGUUGCCUGGCUCUCUUGUGUCUAGGGAAGUAACCAUGCUGACCACCAUGUAGCAGUCACGGAGCAGAAAGUAGAAGGCUGGAAGGGACAGAGUGAGUGUGGCCCUGAGGACAUGCCCUUCCUCCAGCUGCUUCCCAACAACCAAAGUCCAGGAGCUCUCUGGACAACACCACCAUCUCACCAUCAAGGCUUCCAGGCAAACCACAGCACUAUGUGUUGAUGGUCACUGUCCCCUCCUGCCACCCAGACCCAGGAAACCACUGAUGUGCUGUUGGACUCCAUGGAUUUGUCUGUUUGUCAUUUCUAUAAAAUGCCCUCCAACAACAGAUGAACUU